rnacentral:rRNA from 3 species
AGACCCGAAACCCGGUGAUCUAGCCAUGGGCAGGUUGAAGGUUGGGUAACACUAACUGGAGGACCGAACCGACUAAUGUUGAAAAAUUAGCGGAUGACCUGUGGCUGGGGGUGAAAGGCCAAUCAAACCGGGAGAUAGCUGGUUCUCCCCGAAAGCUAUUUAGGUAGCGCCUCGUGAAUUCAUCUCCGGGGGUAGAGCACUGUUUCGGCUAGGGGGCCAUCCCGGCUUACCAACCCGAUGCAAACUGCGAAUACCGGAGAAUGUUAUCACGGGAGACACACGGCGGGUGCUAACGUCCGUCGUGAAGAGGGAAACAACCCAGACCGCCAGCUAAGGUCCCAAAGUCAUGGUUAAGUGGGAAACGAUGUGGGAAGGCCCAGACAGCCAGGAUGUUGGCUUAGAAGCAGCCAUCAUUUAAAGAAAGCGUAAUAGCUCACUGGUCGAGUCGGCCUGCGCGGAAGAUGUAACGGGGCUAAACCAUGCACCGAAGCUGCGGCAGCGACACUGUGUGUUGUUGGGUAGGGGAGC